rnacentral:rRNA from 1 species
CCUAGUUGAUCUUGCCAGUAGUCAUAUGCUUGUCUCAAAGGUUAAGCCAUGCACAUUUAAGUGCAAACUAAUUCAGCCUGUGAAAUUAUGAAUGGCUCGUUAAAUCAAUUAUAGUUUAUUUAAUGGUAUUUACAACUAAGAUAAUUGUAGUAACUCUAAAGCUAAUUUGUGCAACAAGCCUUGACUUUUGGAAGGGAUGCAUUUAUUGGAUAAAAGCUCAAUGCGAGCUUUGCCCACUGCUCUAAUGAUUCAUGAUAACUCGAUGAAUCAUACGACCUUUGUAUUGGUGACACAUCAUUCAAAUUUCUACCUUAUCAACUUUUGAUGGUUGGAUAGUGGUCUACUACAGUGGUGACAAGUAAAGGAGAAUUAAGGUUCGAUUCUAGAAAGAAAGCAUGAAAAAUGGCUACCACAUCUAUGGAAGAUAGCAGGUGUGCUAAUCACUCAAUCUUGAUAAGGGGAGGUAGUGACAAUAAAUAGCAAUACUGGGCUUUAUGAGUCUAGUAAUUGGAAUGAAUACAAUCUAAAUCCCUUAAUAAGGAUCCAUUGGAGGGCAAGUCUAUUGCUAGUAAGUGUUAUAAUUCUAGCUCUAAUUGUAUAUAUUUAAGUUGAUGCAAUUGAAAAGCUCUUGGUUAGAGCUAUAGUUGGGUUGUUUGAUUCGCCUCAUGGUAAACAUGUGUCUACUCAUCCCUACUAUCAACAAUGUGCUCCUAACCUUAAUUGGCUUAUUUGUUUCUUUGAUGUUGUUACUUUGAAGAAAUUAAUGUUCUCAAUGUAGGCCUAUGCUUGUAUACAUUAGGAUUGGAUAACAUCAUAGGAUUUCGAUCCUAUUGUGUUGGCCUUUGGCAUUAGAGUAAUGAUUAACAAGGAUAAUCAAGGGCAUUUGUAUUUCAUAGUCAGAGGUGAAAUUUUUAGAUUCAUGAAAGAUGAACAAUUGUGAAAGCAUUUGCCAAUGAUGUUUUCAUUAAUUUAAUCAAGAACAAAAGUUAGGGGCUUGAAGAUAAUUAGAUACUAUCUUAGUCUUAACCAUAAACAAUAUCGAGUAGUGACUAAUGGAUGUUACUUUUAGGACUCUGCCAACACCUUAUGAGAAAUUGAAGUCUUUGGGUUCUAAGAGGAGUGUGGUCACAAGGUUGAAACUUAAAGGAAUUGAUAGAAGGGCACACUAGCAAUGGAACCUAGGCACAAUUUGACUCAACACAGAGAAACUUCUAGGUCUAGAUAUAGUAAAGAUUGAUAGAUUAGAAGUGCUCUUUCUUGAUUUUAUAGGUGGUGGUGCAUGGCCAUUCUUAGUUAGUGGAGCAAUUUGUCUAGUUAAUUUCGUUAACAAAUGAGACCUUAGUCUACUAACCAGCUAGUAGAGGUGAUCCUUUGUGGCUAGCUUCUUAGAGGGACUAUGGCCUCUUAGGCCAAGAAAGUUUAAGGCAAUAACAGGUUUGUUAUGCCUUUAGAUGUUUUGGGCAACAUGCCCCACAUUGAUGUAUUCAAGAAAUCUAUAACCUUGGUUGAUAGCUCAUGUAAUCUUUGAAAUUUCAUCAUGAUGGGGAUAGAUCAUUGUAAUUGUUGGUCUUCAAUGAGGAAUUCCUAGUAAGCGUGAGUCAUCAACUCAGGUUGACUAUGUCCCUACCCUUUGUACAUACCACCCACUGUUUCUACUAAUUGAAUGGUCUAGUGAAGUGUUCAGAUCAUAGUGAUGUGGAUGGUUAACUACCCAAGAUGUCAUAAAAAGUCCAUUAGAUCCUAUCAUUUAGAAAAAGGAGAAAUUUUAACAAGGUUUACAUAGGUGCACUUGUGAAAG